GAGUCAAUAGCGCAGUGGUGUGUGCGUUUGGGUGACGACCAGUAGGUCGUGGGUUCGACUCCCUCACCCA
rnacentral:tRNA from 1 species